CGGGUUCUGGUUCUCAGAAUUUAUGUCCAUCACUCCAGCAUGUGGGAUUGCAGAAUCAUCCUCAUCCUUCUGGACGUUGGUGUAGAUUGCAGAAUCAUCCUCAUCCUUCUGGACGUUGGUGUAGUUUGCAGAAUCAUCCUCAUCCUUCUGGACAUUGGUGUAGAUUGCAGAAUCAUCCUCAUCCUUCUGGACGUUGUUGUAUGUACCAGAAUCAUCCUUGUUCUUCUGCUCGGUGUGGACACUCCUGUGAUCACACACAAAAAGCUCCUGUGAUGACGACAAUCACUCCGGAAGUCACACCAACAAUGACCCACAUCAACCAACGUUCAGGAUUUUCAGUGUCAUCUGUUAAAUGCAGCAAUGUUUAACAUGUCGAUAUUAUCUGAACAUGUCACUUGUUAUAGACGUGUUAAUGCACAUCAUGAUGAAAUUAUUUCCAUCAGUAAUCAUGUGAGACAUUCAGGAAUGUUGUGAGCAGAUGGACUCACCCACCACGUGAAGGCUGAUGGUUUCAGAUCCUGACGUCUCACCGGUUCCCCAAGUGCAGGUGUAAUUCCCAGAAUCCCUCAGGGUUAGAGCAGGAAAGUGAAGAACGGGUCCUGAUGUAUAUAAACUCUGGUUGUUCUUAGACCACACAAACUGUGAG